rnacentral:rRNA from 1 species
UUAUCCGGAUUUAUUGGGUUUAAAGGGUGCGUAGGCGGUUAAAUAAGUCAGUGGUGAAAAGCUGCAGCUCAACUGUAGUCCUGCCAUUGAAACUGUUUUACUUGAGUAACCAUGAGGUAGGCGGAAUGUGUAGUGUAGCGGUGAAAUGCUUAGAUAUUACACAGAACACCGAUUGCGUAGGCAGCUUACUAGAGGUUCACUGACGCUGAUGCACGAAAGCGUGGGGAUCAAACAGGAUUAGAUACCCUGGUAGUCCACGCCGUAAACGAUGAUAACUCGCUGUUGGCGAUACACAGUCAGCGGCUUAGCGAAAGCGUUAAGUUAUCCACCUGGGGAGUACGCUCGCAAGAGUGAAACUCAAAGGAAUUGACGGGGGCCCGCACAAGCGGAGGAACAUGUGGUUUAAUUCGAUGAUACGCGAGGAACCUUACCUGGGCUUAAAUGUGAGACGACCGCCGAAGAAAUUUGGCUUUCCGCAAGGACGACUUACAAGGUGCUGCAUGGUUGUCGUCAGCUCGUGCCGUGAGGUGUCGGGUUAAGUCCCAUAACGAGCGCAACCCUUAUGAUUAGUUGCUAACAGGUCAAGCUGAGGACUCUAGUCAGACUGCCACCGUAAGGUGUGAGGAAGGUGGGGAUGACGUCAAAUCAGCACGGCCCUUAUGUCCAGGGCUACACACGUGUUACAAUGGCCGAUACAGAGGGCAGCAACCCCGCGAGGGGUAGCUAAUCCGGAAAAGUCGGUCUCAGUUCGGAUCGGAGUCUGCAACCCGACUCCGUGAAGCUGGAUUCGCUAGUAAUCGCGCAUCAGCCAUGGCGCGGUGAAUACGUUCCCGGGCCUUGUACACACCGCCCGUCAAACCAUGGGAGCCGAGGGUACCUGAAGUCUGUGACCGCGAGGAGCGGCCUAGGGUAAAAUUGGUGACUAGGGUUAAGUCGUAACAAGGUAAC